GUGUCAUGAAGAGGUACAACAGGGAAGAGGGCAAUCAUGGUCCCUGCCUUAGUGGAUCUUACGGCAUCUUGGGGGCACAGAUAAUAAACACCUGAAUCUGAAAAUUAUCCUUUGAGGAAGGCUGAGCAAGAAUUAAUUCCCCCAUUUUACAGAGGUCCUGCUAUGGUCCUGCUAUGUUACCCAAGGUGGUCUUGAACUCCUGGCCUCAAGCCAUCCUCCUGCCUCGGCCUCCCAAAGUGCCAAGAUUAUAGGCAUGAGCCACUGCACACCCAGCCUGCCGUGUGACAUCUGAGGCUAGAUUAUAAGAAUGCUAUGAGCUUCCACCUGGCUUUCAUGGACAGGAUGCUAACUCUUGGAACUCACCUGCCAUGUCGUGAGGAAGUCCAAAUCAUCCCACAUGGAGAGGCCUGUGAAGGUGCUCUAGCUCACAGCCCAGCUGAGGUCCUGGCUGACAGCCUGCAUCAUCUGCCAGGUAUGAGUGAAGAUGCUUCCAGAUGAUUCUAGCUCCCACUCUCAACUUGGAUUCUUCCCAGCAGAGGCUCCAGAAAUCAUAGAGCAGAGAUCGCCUCUCCCUACUCUGCUUUGUCCAAGUUCUGGGCUAUAAAAUCUAUGAGCAUGGUAGCAUGAUUGUUUUACACCAGAAAGUUUUGGGGUAGUUUGUGACAUAGCAACUGGUACAGAAAUUAUUUGCUAACAAGCAGGCAUCUCUCUCAAGGGGGAAAGUCUUCUGGUUAUCUUUGCACCCUUUUCUGGGGCAAAUAUGAUUGGUAGGGAUGAUGCCCAUCAUAGCACCAUUGCUUCAUCAGAGGCCGUUUGGAUCAAUGAGCCCUUCCGUGUUCUUUAGUCACAAUAUGUUAAUAUAUCUUACUUGUCCAUUUCCCACUGACUAGAAUAUCAGUUCCCUAUGAUAAGUUUUUUCCCCUAUUUUGUUUGUUCCUAUAUCCCCCAAACCCAAACUAGUACAGGUGCUCCUCACCUUAUGAUGGGGUUACCUCCCAAUAAACCCGCCAUAAAGUUGAAAAAUCCUAAGUUGAACCAUCUUAAGUUGAGGACCAUCUGUGCUUGGUAGUUGCUCAAUAAAUAAUUGUUGCAAUAAAAAAUUGUCGGAUGAAUGGUUAUGAAACAAACAUCUAGUGGGCAAAAGUUUUGAUACUGAUUUCUGGAGAGAAUUUUGCUAACAUUACCAUGUUCUAGUUGUUAUGAUAAUGUAAAAUUACUUUCUGGAUAAGGACAAGUUCACAUUGUGGUGGUAAUUUCUGGAGAAUAAUUGUUAAACGUUCCCACUUUUUCUUGAAAUAACACAAAAGAAUCAUUAGGAAAGGUAUAAUGAGUGUUAGGGACACGUCAGGUCCAUACUCAGGAGCUUGUUCAAGGAAUUGGUACCUGGACACUCUCUAAAAGGAUUUGAUAUCAGUCAACAAGGAAGAAGUGAUUCGAGUAAACCUUCCUUUGUUGCCUGGCAUAUGCUGGGUAUCAUAGGGACCACAAAAAAUGUAAGAUGUAGAUGCUGUCUUCAAACUGUGUUGAGUCUAGCUGGGGAGACAUAAGAUUGGAAUCUAUAUACAGAUAGCCCAGUAAGGCAAGCUAGGUCCAGUGGUGAAACUGAUAGGGUUUCACCAGCUGAGGUCCCCAAGGGUGAGAGAAUGUCAAAGAAGACUUCCUGGAGGAGGCAAGUUAAAGGGGAUUAUGGGUUGGGCAGGUGGACAGCUUCCUGAUCCACUAAUCAGAGGAACACUGAAACCACAGGGAUCCAUCAGAAAUCUGCUGCCUGUUAACUCAGGUUUCCACCUGCAGCUUCUCACAUAGCUGGUGGAAAUGAAAUUGGUGUCCCUUUUGCCAAAAUAGACAAUGCCCCUAAGUAGAAAGAAAAGCUACUCCUCCCCAGCACCAGCCUACCUCUGUGGGGGUAUUUCUGCAAUGUGCAUUGCAAGUUGCUGCAUCCACUGGCCAGUCUGGCUCUGAGAUCAGCCAGCUGGCAGCCUCUGCAGUGGGCAUGGCUGGGCAGCCUGAAUUCUGAAACCAAUUAAUGCACUGCAAAGGACGGUUUACCAAGAAGGUAUCUGCAAGCCUUAAAAAAUAUCUCCUAAAAAGUUGUCCACUUGUAGUCCCAGCUACUCGGGAGGCUGAGACUGGAGGAUUGCUUGAGGCUAUGAGUUUGAGGCUGUGGUGAGCUAUGAUUGCAUCAAUGCAUACCAGCCUGGGCAACCAAGUGAAACACCGUUGCUGUAACCACAAGCGCCUGAAAACAAGCAAUAAAUAUAUCUAGAAUAAGA